UUCCAGACUCCUACGGGAGGCAGCAGUGGGGAAUAUUGCACAAUGGGGGAAACCCUGAUGCAGCGACGCCGCGUGAGCGAUGAAGUAUUUCGGUAUGUAAAGCUCUAUCAGCAGGGAAGAAAAUGACGGUACCUGACUAAGAAGCCCCGGCUAACUACGUGCCAGCAGCCGCGGUAAUACGUAGGGGGCAAGCGUUAUCCGGAUUUACUGGGUGUAAAGGGAGCGUAGACGGCUGUGCAAGCCAGAUGUGAAAGCCCGGGGCUCAACCCCGGGACUGCAUUUGGAACUGUGUGGCUGGAGUGUCGGAGAGGCAGGCGGAAUUCCUAGUGUAGCGGUGAAAUGCGUAGAUAUUAGGAGGAACACCAGUGGCGAAGGCGGCCUGCUGGACGAUGACUGACGUUGAGGCUCGAAAGCGUGGGGAGCAAACAGGAUUAGAUACCCUCGUAUAA
rnacentral:rRNA from 1 species